rnacentral:rRNA from 1 species
UACGAAGGGGGCUAGCGUUGUUCGGAAUCACUGGGCGUAAAGGGCGCGUAGGCGGCUUUAUAAGUCGGGGGUGAAAGCCUGUGGCUCAACCACAGAAUUGCCUUCGAUACUGUAGAGCUUGAGACCGGAAGAGGUAAGUGGAACUGCGGGUGUAGAGGUGAAAUUCGUAGAUAUUCGCAAGAACACCAGUGGCGAAGGCGGCUUACUGGUCCGGUUCUGACGCUGAGGCGCGAAAGCGUGGGGAGCAAACAGG